rnacentral:rRNA from 1 species
CCUACGGGAGGCUGCAGUGGGGAAUAUUGGACAAUGGGGGCAACCCUGAUCCAGCAAUUCUGUGUGCGCGAAGACGGUUUUCGGAUUGUAAAGUGCUUUCAGCAGGGAAGAAGUAAGUGACGGUACCUGCAGAAGAAGCGACGGCUAAAUACGUGCCAGCAGCCGCGGUAAUACGUAUGUCGCGAGCGUUAUCCGGAAUUAUUGGGCAUAAAGGGCAUCUAGGCGGCCUAUCAAGUCAGGGGUGAAAACCUGCGGCUCAACCGCAGGCCUGCCUUUGAAACUGUGAGGCUGGAGUACCGGAGAGGUGGACGGAACUGCACGAGUAGAGGUGAAAUUCGUAGAUAUGUGCAGGAAUGCCGAUGAUGAAGAUAGUCCACUGGACGGAGACUGACGCUGAAGUGCGAAAGCCGGGGGAGCGAACAGGAUUAGAUACCCCUGUAGUC